rnacentral:rRNA from 1 species
CCUACGGGUGGCAGCAGUGGGGAAUAUUGCACAAUGGGCGAAAGCCUGAUCCAGCGACGCCGCGUGAAGGAAGAAGGCUUUCUGUAUGUAAACUUCUUUCAGCAGGGAAGAAAAUGACGGUACUUGUCUACGACUCCGCGUCUACCUACGUCCCAGCAGCCGCGGUAAUACGCCGGGGGCAGGCGUUAUCCGGAUUUACUGGGUGUAACGGGAGCGUAGGCGGUUUAGCAAGUCAGAAGUGAAAGCCCCGGGCUCAACCCCGGGACUGCCUUUGAAACUGGUGAACUAGAUUGCAGGAGAGGUAAGCGGAAUUCCUAGUGUAGCGGUGAAAUGCGUAGAUAUUAGGAGGAACACCAGUGGCGAAGGCGGCCUACUGGACUGCAAAUGACGCUGAGGCUCGAAAGCGUGGGGAGCAAACAGGAUUAGAUACCCUUGUAGUC